rnacentral:lncRNA from 1 species
AGGGACAUACCAAGCCUAUCCUUUCUGUGUGCUGGGAUCCAUCUGGUGAGUUCCUUGCAUCAGUCAAAUUAUACAUGGUCAUCCUAUAAGGUAACAAUAGGAUACAGUAAAUUCUUCUGAUUUGUUCUUUUUCAUUACUGCGUGUUUGAUUAGGCAUAAUGACUUAUCAUGAGUUUAGACUGUUGUAUGUAGGCAUAAUGACUUAUCAUGAGUUUAGACUGUUGUAUGUGGUCUAUUUAUGUCAAUUGCCUGUGGGUCAAUCCAUGUUCCCAUGUUACCUCUUUAGUUUCAUGGAUAUCUUGUAUUUGCCCUGAGUUUUUUUUUUCCUUAAAAUAGCUUUUACUGGUGGUUGACUUGAUUUCCACGGUUAGAUGAUCACCUUUGUUUUUUACACAGGUUAGAGCAUACUUACAGCAUCAAUGGAAGCAGAUUCUAUCUGGAAGGGUGUCUCUUCAGGAUUUUGUAUCUGCAAAGGAGGUUCGCCUAGGCACCUACCGUGUGUGUAUCUAUUUUUCUGUUUUUAUUUCAUUACUGUCUGUCAUGUAUUGUCUUCUUACUUGA